rnacentral:rRNA from 1 species
AUUGAACGCUAGCGGGAGGCCUUACACAUGCAAGUCGAACGGAGGGGUGAACGGGUGAGGAAUGUAUCGGAACGUGACCAGGAGCGGGGGAUAACGACGAGAAAGCGUAGCUAAUACCGCAUACUAUUGGAGCGGCCGAUAUCGGAUUAGCUAGUUGGUGGGGUAACGGCUCACCAAGGCGACGAUCCGUAGCUGGUUUGCGAGGACGACCAGCCACACUGGUACUGAGACACGGCCCAGACUCCUACGGGAGGCAGCAGUGGGGAAUUUUGGACAAUGGGGGAAACCCUGAUCCAGCCAUCCCGCGUGUGCGAUGAAGGCCUUCGGGUUGUAAAGCACUUUUGGCAGGAAAGCGGUACCUGCAGAAUAAGCACCGGCUAACUCCGUGCCAGCAGCCGCGGUAAUUC